ACAGCCACAUCAUGUUGAAGCACUCGUUUCAUACAAUCACUGAAGUUAAGCAACGUUGACCCUGGUCAGUACUGAGAUGGGUGACCACUUGGGAAUACCAAGUGCU